rnacentral:misc_RNA from 1 species
GUGAUCGCUCCACAGAGUGGAAAUGGAAAGCAUACAAACACAAUCCCGACCCCUCUCUCUUCAUCUACAUUCUCUGCCUCCAAAUCCAUUCAACAACACCAAACAAUUCCUCAAAAUCAAAGCCUCCCAAAACCCCAUCAAACUCCGGAAAUUUCACAAGUAUCGCAACAAGAAACACAAAUCAUCAUUCGCAGAGAAAGAUGCAUUUCCAGAAUCAUUACCACUCCACACCAAAAACCCAGGAGCAAUUUACAAAGACAUUCAAAGAUUCGCUAGGCAAAACAAGCUCAAGGAAGCUGUCACCAUCAUGGACUACUUGGACCAGCAAGGCAUCCCAGUUAAUGCCACUACCUUCUCUUCUCUUAUUGCCGCUUGCAUUCGAUCGAAAUCUCUAACUGAAGCCAAACAAAUUCAUACCUAUAUCCGCAUCAAUGGCCUUGGAAACAACGAGUUCUUGCGAACUAAAUUGGUCCAUAUGUACACAUCUUGCGGUUCUCUUGAUGAUGCCAAACAUGUGUUCGAUGAAUGUACUAGUAGUGGUAGUGUGUAUCCGUGGAAUGCGUUGCUUAGAGGUGCUGUGAUAUCGGGUGGCAAAAGAUACCUUGAUGUGCUUUCUGCUUAUGCAGAAAUGCGAGAAUUAGGUGUUGAGUUGAACGUGUAUACUUUCUCUAAUGUCAUUAAGAGCUUUGCCGGUGCUUCAGCUUUUUGGCAAGGUUUGAAGACUCAUGGCCUUUUGGUAAAGAAUGGAUUGGUUGACAGUUCAAUUCUCAGGACCAGUUUGAUUGAUAUGUAUUUCAAAUGUGGCAAGAUUAAAUUAGCACAAAGAGUGUUUGAAGAAAUGCCCCACAGAGAUAUUGUUGUGUGGGGUGCAAUGAUUGCAGGUUUUGCGCAUAAUAGGCGUCAAAGGGAAGCAUUGGACUAUUUAAGAUGGAUGGUAAGUGAAGGAAUAUACCCCAACUCGGUCAUACUAACCACAAUCCUUCCUGUUUUAGGGGAAGUGUGGGCAAAGAAGUUAGGCCAGGAGGUUCAUGCAUAUGUUGUGAAAAGAAAGAAUUAUUCAAGGCAUUUGUCAAUUCAGUCUGGACUAAUUGACAUGUAUUGCAAAUGUGGAGACAUGGGUUUAGGUAGGCGGGUGUUUUAUGGCUCAACGGAGAGGAAUACUGUUUCUUGGACUGCUUUGAUGUCUGGUUAUGCAUCAAAUGGGAGGCUUGACCAGGCUUUAAGAUCUGUAGCUUGGAUGCAGCAGGAAGGGUUUACGCCUGAUGUUGUCACGGUUGCCACUGUUAUUCCAGUUUGUGCAGAGUUGAAGGCUUUGAAGCAUGGCAAGGAAAUUCAUGCUUACGCUGUUAAGAAUUUGCUCUUGCCUAAUGUAUCUGUAGUAACUUCUCUGAUAAAAAUGUACUCAAUUUGUGGGGUUUUAGACUACUCUGUAAAACUGUUCGAUACCAUGGAGAACAGGAAUGUAAUCUCCUGGACAGCUAUGAUUGAUUCCUAUGUAGUAAAUUGGUGUAUAAAUGAAGCAUUGUCCGUAUUUAGGUCAAUGCAGUUGUCAAAGCACAGGCCAGACUCUGUUGUGAUGGCAAGAAUGUUGAGUAUUUGCAGCAAAAUUAAAGCUUUGAAGCUUGGGAAGGAGAUUCAUGGGCAUGUCUUGAAGAAAAAUUUUGAGACAAUUCCUUUUGUUUCAGCAGAAAUUGUGAAGAUGUAUGGGAGCUGUGGAGUGAUUAAUGGAGCAAAAUCAGUUUUCUAUGCAAUUCCUGUCAAGGGUUCAAUGGCAUGGACUGCCAUUAUAAAGGCAUAUGGAUAUAAUAAGCUAUGGCAGGAUGCAGUCCGCCUCUUUCAUAAGAUGAUAUCUGACGGUUUCACUCCCACCCAUUUCACUUUCAAAGUUGUUCUCUCAAUUUGUGAUCAAGCUGGAUUUGCAGAUGAUGCUUGUCAGAUAUUUGAUAUAAUGUCUCAAAGAUAUAAAAUUAAGGCAUCUGAAGAACAAUAUUCUAUUAUCAUUGGACUUCUUACCCGUGCUGGUCGCAUCCAGGAGGCUGAAAGAUUUAUAAAGAUGAGUUCUUCCUCAUGAGAAAAAUUUGAUAGUUUUUGUAUUAAUUGAGUUCCUGCAACCUUCUUGAGUUUGUUCAAUACUUCUUGGAAAUUGUAUAGAUUUGUGCCUUCACAUAUCAUAUGAAA